AAAGAAUGAUGAGGACACUUCCGAAUUAGGUCUUUAUACCUUUCACAUGCCUCAUAUAAGGACUCAGACUCUUGUUGCACAAAAUUAGUAAUCUCAUUUCUCAUUCU